GGGGUUGUGGCUCAGUGGUAGAGCACUCACCAUGCAUGUGUGAGGCCCUGGGUUCAAUCCUCAGCACCACA
rnacentral:tRNA from 1 species